rnacentral:rRNA from 1 species
GAUGAACGCUAGCGAUAGGCUUAACACAUGCAAGUCGAGGGGCAGCAUGGUCUUAGCUUGCUAAGGCUGAUGGCGACCGGCGCACGGGUGCGUAACGCGUAUGCAACUUGCCUCACAGAGGGGGAUAACCCGUCGAAAGACGGACUAAUACCGCGUACACUCUAUGUUGGGCAUCCAAUGUAGAGGAAAUGAAAUUCGCUGUGAGAUAGGCAUGCGUCCCAUUAGCUAGUUGGUAAGGUAACGGCUCACCAAGGCGACGAUGGGUAGGGGAACUGAGAGGUUGAACCCCCACACUGGUACUGAGACACGGACCAGACUCCUACGGGAGGCAGCAGUGAGGAAUAUUGGUCAAUGGGCGAGAGCCUGAACCAGCCAAGUCGCGUGAAGGAUGACUGUCUUAUGGAUUGUAAACUUCUUUUAUACGGGAAUAACAAGAGUCACGUGUGGCUCCCUGCAUGUACCGGAUGAAUAAGCAUCGGCUAACUCCGUG